CAUAAAAGGCGUCACAAACUUCGCCCUGUAAGAUUCAGUACACGCGAAACUAACUGCGCCACAGCCGAGCUGUUU
rnacentral:lncRNA from 1 species